UGGAGAAGGAUCCAGUGCCCUUUCCCAUGCUGCUGACCAUGUAACCUGGUGCUGGACUUGUGAAGCAAAGGAGGAGAUCUGGAGAGAGCUUCAGGAGCUGCAAUCACAGUUGUGGCCCUAAGUCAAGCAUGAGGGGACCAAAGUAGCCAGCAGACAGUAUCAACUUCCAGUUUAAUGGAGCUAUUGCUGGAUCUCCUUAGCAGAAGCAUCUAUCCCUUGGGAACUAAGACUUCUAGAAAGUUGCAGACUGCUGUAUUAGCAUUUGGGCUGGGCUCUCAGAGGGAAUGGCUGUGUUUCCCAACAACCCUGGACGACUUCACUUGUCAAGUAAUCUACCAGCAUUUUCCUGGCUCUCUUUGGACUGACCUAGAGUUUCGGGGUGGAAAGGGGACGGCACGUGAGUCAGAGCCCAGAACUCUGACUGGUGACCUGGCAAGCUGAAUAUUUACUCAUCUUACUUUGUGGAAGAUGCACCACCUAAGAGAUGAAAAAGGCAUCGGGGGCAGAUCGCAAUCGACUAUUCCUGUUGUGGAAAUGAAAGGGGCAGUCAUUUGGCAUUUUCCCCUAAAUUAGUAUUUUAAAAUUAGCAAGCCAGUCACAUGAACUUCAACGUAUUGGAAAAAUGUUGGAUUCCAAAGAAGAGCUUCCCAUUUCCUCUCUGCCUCUUUAGAACGAGUAACAUUUAAAGAAUUUUCCCUUUUUUAGAAUGUAAGAUUUCUACAUCAGAGCUCAUUUUUCUCUCCAUAAUUUCUCUCUAUUGGAUGUUAAAGAAAGCUAAACUGAUCUCCCUAAUUAUUGAUAGUUUGGGAAUCUCAUUCAUUCAGUCAACAAACUUAGUGGUCACUGUGUGCCAGGACCUCUUCUAAGGGCUAUAAAGUAACUGGAAUAUAUUAUAGUGACACAGCAUGAUUUAUUUAAGCUACUACAUUUAAUUUUAUUCCUUUCAAUUCCAUCUCUUCCUUGUUUUUUCUCUCCAUCUAUCUCCACGUUUUCAUACAAGGAAAACAUGAAAAGCACAUAUAUGGACCAACGAGAUUUGAUUAGUAAGCAUUUUGAGGACACUAGCCCCAAAUGAAGAUUUUAAUUCAAAAUGGGGCUCCUUCUAGAUUCUGUGCCUGGGAUGAUUUAGAAAAAAACAGCUUAAGUUAUGUUCCCUGGAGCAAUGAGAGACCACUGUUGUCAAAUGGACUCUCACAUUCAUAGACAAAAGGUGGAGUUAAUAAAGCCAUCACAAAGAAAUAUACAAAGUUGCCUGUGCCUCUGGAGAAAUACUUGGUUGAGUCAUUCGUGGCAUCAAAUUAGAUCCUGGGUUUGUUCUGCAUCUCUUUGUUUUGCAUCUCUUAGGUACUGUUAAUCUGAAAAGGAGAGAAGGCAAAUGCCACUGUCUCCCAUCAAUACCUCUCCCCUGUACCAAGUGCAUCAACCCUAAGAGAUAACACUAAAAACUUAUCACCGAGAAAGUUGAAGAUUUGUUGUAAAUUAUCUUAUCAUCUGGGGAUCCAUACUCACUUUUUAAACAACGCUUUCAAUAAUAUAGAAUAACAGAAACAAAAUAUCUUUUCCUUGCAAGUAAA